GCAUCGAUGGUUCAGUGGUAGAAUGCUCGCCUGCCACGCGGGCGGCCGGGGUUCGAUUCCCGGUCGAUGCA
rnacentral:tRNA from 1 species